UCCGAGUUGACCCCGGCGGUCUCCCACGAGUCCCCGGCAUUACCCGCUGGCAACAUAGGACAAGGGUUGCGCUCGUUGCGGGACUUAACCCAACAUCUCACGACACGAGCUGACGACAACCAUGCACCACCUGCACACAGGCCACAAGGGAACCUGUAUCUCUACAGGGAUCCUGCGCAUGUCAAGCCCAGGUAAGGUUCUUCGCGUUGCAUCGAAUUAAUCCACAUGCUCCGCCGCUUGUGCGGGCCCCCGUCAAUUCCUUUGAGUUUUAGCCUUGCGGCCGUACUCCCCAGGCGGGGCGCUUAAUGCGUUAGCUACGGCACGGACAACGUGGAUGUCGCCCACACCUAGCGCCCAACGUUUACAGCGUGGACUAC
rnacentral:misc_RNA from 1 species